rnacentral:lncRNA from 1 species
AGAGAAAGAAAGGGAUACUACCAGUGGGGGGAGGGAGAAGGACAAGCCCAAUCCAUGCUGAAUGUAGAGCCUGAUAUGGGGUUUGAUCUCACGACCCUCAGAUCACAGCCUGAGCCAAAAUCAAGAGUUGUAAGCUUAACCAACUGAGCCACUACUUUUUAAACAAAUGGUAAGCAAGCCUGUUCCUUGUCUGGGGGAAAUACACAUACCUCAUUGUCUCAGAAGAGACUGGAAGUUCAGUUCUGUCCUGGACUAGAAACUAGACUACAGGGCAUCUGCACUCACUCCCAACUCUGGUAUGCUAAGGUCUCGGAUUGAAAAUUGUGCUUUCCUGUUGAGUUAUAAGAGUUUCUAAUUCAAUCACCGUUUUUAAACAGGCUUAUGAAGAUAGUUUUUUUCAGUAAUAAAUUUCAUGUGAUUUCUGGUUCUGAGAACCUCAUUCUGCCUGAGGCCAAAAAGUUAAGACAAAAUGAGUAAAAUUCAGCGACUUCACAGAUAUUGUAGUUUAACACACAAUCAGACUGGGAUGCCCUCCCCCUUUCCCUGGGGUUUGAAGCUCCUGUGGCUGGCACAAAUGUGGUAGAAUGAGUGAGCAUGGGGAUAGGAAGACAUUCACUUCCUGAUAUGCUUAGGAUAGAGGCUGGCUGCCUAUUCCACAUGUCACUCUUGUCAUGUACAAACAGGCCAUAUGCAAGAUCUCCUUGGAUCAACAGUGAAGUCAUGAGAAAAAGAGGAGAGCACAGAAGGUAUUGCACAGACAUAAACAACAAUAAAUUGGCCAACCAUAAUCUUCAGGUUUGUUCCAUACACUGCCUAACUGGAAAGAAGAGCAAAGAAAUUCAGAGAGAACAAUGUCAAAAUCUGACUGAGAGCCAUGUAUUCAGUGUUUGGUUGAGCAGUGGUAUUGUGGCCUUAGGGUCCCUAUCACUGCUUGAGUUCCUCACAGCUUUGGGGGUCUUUCCAGUCCAUUGUGUUCUUAAAAAACUGGCCUCCCCUUCUUAACAUGACCUAAGUGUGGUCUUUGUACCUACAUAUCCAAAAGAGUAUAAUUUAAUAAACAGUGUAUUGGUAAAGUAUAAAGAACA